rnacentral:rRNA from 1 species
AUGCAGGAUAAAAAUAUGCCGCUGAACCUCGUACCUGUUGCUGGAAUGAAAUUCACCACGUACGACAAGGCAUGGGACUUUUACAACAAUUAUGCAAGAUGUGCAGGGUUUGGUAUACGCGAGGGGGCAAAACACAGGACAAAUGCCUACAUUGUCUGCUCAAGAGAAGGGGUCCACAAGAAGGUUGUGUUAGAUUAUCACCGGGUACGUCAGAAGAAAUCAAAAAGGAUUGGCUGCAAUGCAAAGAUUAGAGUCAAAAAAAGGAAGGAUGGCAAAUUUGUGAUAGAAAUGGUUCAACUCAACCACAAUCACAAGAUGCUGGAAAGCCCCGGGAUGCUUUUGCACAUGCGAUCGCACAAAAAAGACGAUCCUUUGAUAGAUCAGUUAGUGAAAGACAUGCAACUGGACAACCACACACAUGCUCAGAUGAUGCCGACGCUGUCGCGUAGGUCCGGUGGUCUGUAGUACAUGGGACAUACUAGCCGCGACUGGGUAAACAGGAAACAGAAGUUUGCCAGAGAAGAGUCUGAAGAUGAUGUCAAGAAACUUCUGAAUUUCUUCGAGAAAAUGCAAAAGAUAAACCCAGAGUUCUUCUAUGAUUAUGACGCGAACGCAAGUUGCAGAGGAUCAUAUGAAGAUUUUGGAGACUGUGUUACAUUUGACACGAUGUAUAAAACUAACAAAUUCCACAUGCCGCUGGGAGUGUUUAUGGGGGUGAACCUGAAGGAAAUAAGCACCAUAUUUGCUGUUGCACUCGUGCGAGAUGAAACAAUACCAUCAUUUGAGUGGUGUUCUUCGAUGAAGGCAGCAUUAAAAACUAUCCUCCCACAAACUCUGCAUAAGCUGUGUCGGUGGCAUAUCAUGAAGAAGUACAAGGACCACCUCGCCUUGCUGUAUAAGGUGCACGAGAAGCUCAAGGACGAACUCAAUGCAGUGCUGAACCACCCACUAAUGCCGUCAGAAUUUGAACAAGCAUGGAAGAACCUCAUUCAGAGGUACAACUUGCAAGACGGCGAAAUGAUGAAUUCACUAUGGGAUGACAGGCCUUACUACAAGGAAAUUUUCUGUGCUCGGAUGACUUCCACACAGAGAAGCGAGAGCAUGAACCGCAUACUGAAGAAAAAUUUUGUCAGCGAGAAGCAUGAUCUCCAUCUGUUUGCUCAGUAGGUGGACAAGUGCAUUCAGACCAGGAAGGUCGUCGAGCACCCAGGGACAGUAGCAAAUGAGUCAGAGGUAAAAACAACAACAAAGUUUGGCUUCGAAGUUCAGCUAUCAAAAGUGUAUACAAGGGAAGUGUUUGCAGAUUUCAAAGAAACACUCUAUCGUAGCACUGCAUUCAGAGCAGAACGGUGCCCUGAGAACCCGACAAAGUAUCUCGUACACCACUACAACAGAUCGGAUGCAUUUGACUAG